AGAUAAGAUAAGAUAAGAUAAUCUUUAUUAAUCCAACAUGGGGAAAGUUCCCUGUUACAGCAGCUCAAAAGGAGAUAAAACAAGUUAAAUAAAAAUACAAUUAAAUGAAAGAAACAUUAUAUAUACUAUACAAUAAAAGUGCAUAAUUAGCUGUCGGUCAUACCGUCAUGUGAGUGUGGGUUCCAGUGAUGCAGUAGAAUGUAAUGCAGCAUUAUACAGUCUGAUUGCUGUGGGUAUGAAGGACCUGCGGAAGCGUUCCCUUUUACACUUCGGGUGUAGGAGUCUAUCACUGAUGGAGCUGCUUAAGGCCCCCAUAAUUAUGCUACAAUUAAAUGAGUUA